GGCAGGUGAAGUUGGUAUAUUGUUGCAAAGGUGGGGGAACAUUGAUGAAUAGAGUAACGAGGUUAAAAUCACAGCAUUACCUAAAAAAGGGGAGCAUUCAGAAAAACGGAUCAAUAAUAAUACGAUGGACAUUGUUUGUCGUUAGAUCUUUUCACAAAUAAUUUCGUAACUAUUUGAUUUCAUAUUGUUGACAGUGAAAGGCCAACUUACG
rnacentral:lncRNA from 1 species